rnacentral:lncRNA from 11 species
UGGGUUAUAUGGCUGUGUGGAAGGGUCCUUAGUGACUCAAUUGUGAUGGCAAUGUUUUUUAGCAUAUGCAACCUCCUGCAUAGAAAUAAAAACAGCCUUAGCCCCUAGCUUGUUGUAGAUUCCUGACAAUUUGCCUCCUCCUCUUGAUCUGAAUUUUCCAACUCUCGAAGGUGCUUUUGAUUUUAGCUCCAAUAAUUCUUCGCUGUUGCCAUCUGGGAGUCCAAAC